UCCAGCAGCGGCAGAGAACCCUGUGACAUCCACAGCCCAGCCCUACCAGACAGAUCCGGGGACCCAACCAAUCCGCCCAACCAACAUCGUACUCCGGCCCGGCGGCGGCGAAACCACCGCGCGGCCGCAUCGGCGAUGGCGGACGGCGCCAGCAGCAGCGGCGCCCGGGACGGCGGGGGAGGCGGCGGCGGCGAGUCGGUGGUGAUUGACUACGGCCGGCGGCGCACGACCUGCGGCUACUGCCGAUCCACCGGCCCCACGAGCAUCUCCCACGGUCUGUGGGCUAACAGUCUGAAAGCUGAUGACUAUCAAGCUCUUCUUGACCGUGGAUGGAGGAGGUCUGGCAGUUUUCUCUACAAGCCUGAGAUGGAACGGACAUGCUGUCCGGCAUAUACUAUACGCCUGAAGGCAAGUGAUUUCAUUUGUUCCAAAGAGCAAGACCGUGUACUUAAAAGGAUGCAAAGGUUUCUUGAUGGAGAGCUUGAUCCACAGGUUGGAAGUCCACAGUGCAAGACUAACCCUACGAAACGUUCACUCAAUGAACCUAUGAAUUCACCAACCUUGAAAGUAUCCAGGGUAUCAGCAUAUGAAUUUCAAACAGCCACGGGUCCAAGUUUAGACAAAGAAGAUGAGUUUAUUAGUUUCCUGUCUAGCAAAAUCAAUGAGGCAAUAGCUACGUGCUUCCAAGGUGGAAUAGCAGGUUCUGAUGUUGAACUCCCUAAAGCUGUUGUGAAGACUGUUAAACCUCAAGUAAAAAAGAAAGUAGGAGGAGCAGCACAAGAAAAGAAAGGAGGAGCAGUGCAAGAUUUGGUGUACUCAUGUAAUGUAAGUUUCCAACUGGCUGCAGUAAUUAAACGUGCAUUGCCUGAAGAAAAACGUGGAGUAUUAGGGGACCUUUCACCAAAUUGUAUUGCAGAAAGACUGGUGUUGACAAUGGAACAUCAUGGAGAAAUAGCUGGUUUUGCAGUGAAAGCCUGUAAUGGCCAUCUGAACUUCUACUCAGCCACUAUUCAGCCAAUUCAGAACCAUACUAGCAUUGAUACAUGUGCACAAGCUUCUGAUAGGCCGACUAGCUCAAAACAAAGCUCUGUGAACAAAAAUGAUGCAAGACAUGGUAAAAAAGCAAGAAAGCUGGAAUUUAAGAUGGCAAGAUCGCAUUUUGACCCUGAGGAGUUUGCUUUGUACCAAAGAUAUCAGACAAAAGUUCACAAGGAAAAGACAGUUACGGAAAGCUCAUACAAGAGAUUUCUGGUGGAUACCCCAAUCGUACCUAUUCGCCCAAGGAGUGGUGAUAAUACAGUUCCGCCAUGCGGUUUUGGUUCAUUUCAUCAGCAGUAUAGAAUUGAUGGAAAACUUGUGGCAGUUGGUGUAGUUGAUAUCCUUCCGAAAUGUCUCUCAAGCAAAUAUUUGUUCUGGGAUCCUGACCUUGCUUUCCUAUCUCUUGGAAAGUAUACAGCUCUAAAGGAAAUAGAUUGGAUCAAGACAACACAGAAAAGUUGCCCCAGUCUUGAGUACUAUUACCUUGGUUAUUAUAUACAUUCCUGCAAUAAGAUGAGAUAUAAAGCUGCAUAUCGACCAUCAGAACUUCUCUGUCCAGUCCGUUAUGAGUGGGUGCGCUAUGAUGCUGCAAAACCAUUACUAGAUAGGAGCCUGUAUUCUGUUCUAUCUGAUUUCUCCACCAUGGCGCAAGAUGAAAUCCCCCAACCACACGCUUGUGGCCCUUGUGACGAAUCUUCAGCAAAAAAUGACCACAGUGAGACUCCUAUUGACGAGGAUGAUGAGGACUCAGAGUCGGACUACGACGAAUCAGACAUGAUGGUUGAUGAAGAGAUGGUUCAUUCAGAAUCCAAAGGUGAUACAGCUGAGGACUGUUCUGGCGUAGAUGUUGAAAAUGUUAUCAUGGACCUGAGCGGCUCUCGGGUUAAAUACAAGGUAUAUACAUAAAUUUGAGCUCCGGCCUAAAAAAUGUGAUCUUAGUUGUAGCUGGUUGAUGCACUCGAAAGGGGGCGUACAGUUAGGCAGGCAUUUAUUUUGCCUUCCUAGCAUCCAUUAUCAUUGGUAAAAACUUCGACUUGCCGGUAUUAAUCCAUCCAUCCAUCCUUUUGAACUUCACAGCGUUGUCGGGCCGAUCGAAAGGAGACACCUGAGUGAGCUGGAAAGGCAGCUGAGCCGAUACGCGAAAGUCGUUGGGAAGGAGCUGUCUGACCGUAUCGUCUAUUCCCUUAGCUGAGCAGCAACCAUUCUUCAGGGGCAACGCAGCGCAGCCGUCCGAAACUCCUCUCCGAGUGUCUGUGCAAGUCAUGUAGAGAACCAGAUAGUAGAUGGCUAUGAUGCUUUCGUUGUCAAUCGAUUCAUAAAAACGUCUCUCUUUUGGCUCCAGUGGCAAUUGCCCGGACAGCGACUUGUGCUGCGCCACAAGCGAUUUGAUUUGGACGCGUACAUGGUUGUUGAAAUUAUCACAACGGAAAGCGCAUGCGUACAAGUA